rnacentral:misc_RNA from 1 species
GUGAAUCAUCAAAUUUUUGAACGCAAAUUGCACUCUCUGGUAUUCCGGAGAGUAUGCCUGUUUGAGGGUCAGUAUAAUUAAAAACCGCUGUGGUUUCUGAUUUUUUUGGUGAUGCAGCUGGUGUGGGCCGGGUUGUCUUCUGUUAAGUGACCUCAAAUAUUGGAAAAUUUUUGCGAACCUCUUUUAAUGAGUAUG